rnacentral:rRNA from 1 species
AACGUAGGAGACAAACGUUAUCCGGAGUUACUGGGCGUAAAGGGCGUGCAGGUGGCUUGAUAAGUUCGGCGUGAAAUUUCCCGGCUUAACCGGGGGAUGUCGUCGGAGACUGUCGGGCUAGAGGGUGAUAGAGGCGUGUGGAAUUCCGGGUGUAGUGGUGAAAUGCGUAGAGAUCGGGAGGAAGGCCGGUGGCGAAGGCGGCGCUCUGGAACGUUU